AGAGUUUGAUCCUGGCUCAGAACGAACGCUGGCGGCACGCUUAAUACAUGCAAGUCGAACGAGAAAGUUCCUUCGGGAGCGAGUACAGUGGCGAACGGGUGAGUAACACGUAGGUGACCUACCUUAUAGUGGGGGACAACAGAGAGAAAUUUCCGCUAAUACCGCAUACGCUAAGUAACUUUGAAAAUAACUUAGGAAAGAUAGCCUCUUUACAAUGCUGUCGCUAUGAGAUGGGCUUGCGGGUCAUUAGUUUGUUGGUGGGGUAACGGCCUACCAAGGCGAUGAUGGCUAGCCGGUCUGAGAGGAUGAUCGGCCACACUGGAACUGAGACACGGUCCAGACUCCUACGGGAGGCAGCAGUAGGGAAUAUUGCGCAAUGGGCGAAAGCCUGACGCAGCGAUGCCGCGUGAGUGAGGAAGGCCUUCGGGUUGUAAAGCUCCGUCCUCAGGGAAAAAUGGCACUGGGUUAAAAUACAGUGUUUGAUGGUACCUAAGAAGAAAGCACCGGCUAACUUCGUGCCAGCAGCCGCGGUAAUACGAAGGGUGCAAGCGUUGUUCGGAUUUAUUGGGCGUAAAGGGCGCGUAGGCGGAUAGAUUAGUCAGGUGUGAAAUCUCGAGGCUUAACCUCGAAACUGCGCCUGAAACUGUUUAUCUAGAAUCUCAGAGAGGGAAGGGGAAUUUCGCAUGUAGGAGUAAAAUCCGUAGAGAUGCGAAGGAACACCGGAGGCGAAAGCGCCUUCCUGGAUGAGCAUUGACGCUGAGGCGCGAAAGCGUGGGGAGCAAACAGGAUUAGAUACCCUGGUAGUCCACGCCGUAAACGAUGAGCACUAGUUGCAGGGCAGACCAACUGCUCUGUUACGCAGCUAACGCAUUAAGUGCUCCGCCUGGGGAGUACGGCCGCAAGGCUAAAACUCAAAGGAAUUGACGGGGGCCCGCACAAGCGGUGGAUGAUGUGGUUUAAUUCGAAGCUACGCGAAGAACCUUACCUAGGUUUGAAAUCCCGAGAAUCCCUCCGAAAAGAGGGAGUGCCCUUCGGGGAAUUCGGUGACAGGUGUUGCAUGGCUGUCGUCAGCUCGUGUUGUGAAAUGUUGGGUUAAGUCUCGCAACGAGCGUAACCCCUGUUCUUAGUUGCCAGCAUUAAGUUGGGCACUCUAAGAAGACUGCCGGGGUUAACCCGGAGGAAGGUGGGGAUGACGUCAAGUCCUCAUGGCCCUUAUACCUAGGGCUACACACGUCAUACAAUGGACAGUACAAGGGGAUGCAAACCUGCAAAGGGGAGCAAAUCUCUAAAAGCUGUUCUCAGUCCGGAUUGGAGUCUGCAAUUCGACUCCAUGAAGUUGGAAUCGCUAGUAAUCGUGGAUCAGCAUGCCACGGUGAAUACGUUCCCGGGCCUUGUACACACCGCCCGUCACACCACGGGAGUUAAUUCAACCUGAAGUCGUGACCCUAACCUUUCGAGGAUGGGAGCGCCCACGGUGGGAUUGGUGACUGGGGUGAAGUCGUAACAAGGUA
rnacentral:rRNA from 1 species